rnacentral:rRNA from 1 species
AGUUAACGCUGGCGGCGUGCAUAACACAUGCAAGUAGAACGAGUUUAUGAGAUUACAUCAAGUAGACUAGUUGCAGACGAGUGAGUAACACGUAAGAAAUCUACCCUGGAGUGGGGGACAACCAGUCGAAAGAUUGGCUAAUACCCCAUACGAUCAUCGGUCGGCAUCUAUCGGUGAUGAAAGGUUUUUCGCUCUAGGACGAUCUUGCGGCCUAUCAGCAGUUGGUGAGGUAACGGCUCACCAAGGCUAUGACGGGUACCUGGCCUGAAAGGGCGGACGGGCACGGAGGCACUGAGACACGGGCCUCACUCCUACGGGAGGCAGCAGUGGGGAAUUUGGGCAAUGGGCGAAAGCCUGACCCAGCAACGCCGCGUGAGGGAGGAAUCCUUCGGGAUGUAAACCUCACAAGCAAGGGAAGAGAGCUGGCGGGCUGAAUAAUCCCGUAGUGCGACGGUACCUUGCGUAAGCCACGGCUAACUACGUGCCA